UACGUAGGGAGCGAGCGUUAUCCGGAUUUACUGGGUGUAAAGGGCGCGUAGGCGGGAAUGCAAGUCAGAUGUGAAAUCUCCGGGCUCAACCCGGAAACUGCAUUUGAAACUGUAUUUCUUGAGUGAUGGAGAGGCAAGCGGAAUUCCUAGUGUAGCGGUGAAAUGCGUAGAUAUUAGGAGGAACACCAGUGGCGAAGGCGGCUUGCUGGACAUUAACUGACGCUGAGGCGCGAAAGCGUGGGGAGCAAACAGGAUUAGAUACC
rnacentral:rRNA from 1 species